rnacentral:rRNA from 1 species
UACAGAGGGUGCGAGCGUUGUCCGGAAUCACUGGGCGUAAAGGGCGCGUAGGUGGCGGCCCAAGUCCGUGGUGAAAGCUCGCCGCUUAACGGCGAGUCGGCCACGGAGACUGGGUGGCUCGAGCACUGUAGGGGCAGAUGGAAUUCCGGGUGUAGCGGUGGAAUGCGUAGAGAUCCGGAAGAACACCAGUGGCGAAGGCGGUCUGCUGGGCAGUUGCUGACGCUGAGGCGCGAAGGCGUGGGGAGCGAACGGG